rnacentral:rRNA from 1 species
GACGAACGCUGGCGGCGUGCUUAACACAUGCAAGUCGAACGGAAAGGCCCUGCUUUUGUGGGGUGCUCGAGUGGCGAACGGGUGAGUAACACGUGAGUAACCUGCCCUUGACUUUGGGAUAACUUCAGGAAACUGGGGCUAAUACCGGAUAGGAGCUCCUGCUGCAUGGUGGGGGUUGGAAAGUUUCGGCGGUUGGGGAUGGACUCGCGGCUUAUCAGCUUGUUGGUGGGGUAGUGGCUUACCAAGGCUUUGACGGGUAGCCGGCCUGAGAGGGUGACCGGCCACAAUGGGACUGAGAUACGGCCCAGACUCCUACGGGAGGCAACAGUGGGGAAUAUUGCACAAUGGGCGGAAGCCUGAUGCAGAAGCGCCGCGUGCGGGAUGACGGCCUUCGGGUUGUAAACCGCUUUCGCCUGUGACGAAGCGUGAGUGACGGUAAUGGGUAAAGAAGCACCGGCUAACUACGUG